AUACGUAGGUGGCAAGCGUUGUCCGGAUUUACUGGGUGUAAAGGGCGUGCAGCCGGGGAAGCAAGUCAGGUGUGAAAUGCAGAGGCUUAACCUCUGAAUUGCAUUUGAAACUGUUUUUCUUGAGUACUGGAGGGGCAAUCGGAAUUCCUAGUGUAGCGGUGAAAUGCGUAGAUAUUAGGAGGAACACCAGUGGCGAAGGCGGAUUGCUGGACAGCAACUGACGGUGAGGCGCGAAAGUGUGGGGAGCAAACAGGAUUAGAUACCCUGGUAGUCCACGCUGUAAACGAUGAAUUCUAGGUGUGCGGGGACUGACCCCCUGCGUGCCGGCGUUAACACAAUGAGUAUUCCACCUGGGGAGUACGAUCGCAAGGUUGAAACUCAAAUGAAUUGACGGGG
rnacentral:rRNA from 1 species